CAACGGGAGGCAGCAGUGAGGAAUAUUGGACAAUGGGCGAGAGCCUGAUCCAGCCAUGCCGCGUGCAGGAAGACUGCCCUAUGGGUUGUAAACUGCUUUUACAGAGGAAGAACCACCCCCACGUGUGGGGGUUUGACGGUACUCUGCGAAUAAGGAUCGGCUAACUCCGUGCCAGCAGCCGCGGUAAUACGGAGGAUCCAAGCGUUAUCCGGAAUCAUUGGGUUUAAAGGGUCCGUAGGCGGAUAAAUAAGUCAGUGGUGAAAGUCUGCAGCUCAACUGUAGAAUUGCCAUUGAUACUGUUUAUCUUGAGUUAUUAUGAAGUGGUUAGAAUGAGUAGUGUAGCGGUGAAAUGCAUAGAUAUUACUCAGAAUACCGAUUGCGAAGGCAGAUCACUAAUAAUCGACUGACGCUGAUGGACGAAAGCGUAGGUAGCGAACAGGAUUAGAUACCCUGGUAGUCUACGCCGUAAACGAUGGUUACUAGCUGUUCGGCCUAAUUGAGGGCUGAGUGGUUAAGCGAAAGUGAUAAGUAACCCACCUGGGGAGUACGUUCGCAAGAAUGAAACUCAAAGGAAUUGACGGGGGCCCGCACAAGCGGUGGAGCAUGUGGUUUAAUUCGAUGAUACGCGAGGAACCUUACCAGGGCUUAAAUGUAGUUGACAGGGCUGGAAACAGCUUUUUCUUCGCAAUUAUAAGGUGCUGCAUGGUUGUCGUCAGCUCGUGCCGUGAGGUGUCAGGUUAAGUCCUAUAACGAGCGCAACCCCUGUGGUUAGUUGCCAGCGAGUCAAGUCGGGAACUCUAGCCAGACUGCCGGUGCAAACCGCGAGGAAGGUGGGGAUGACGUCAAAUCAUCACGGCCCUUACGUCCUGGGCCACACACUGCUACAAUGGUAGGGACAGAGAGCAGCCACUUCGCGAGAAGGAGCGAAUCUACAAACCCUAUCACAGUUCGGAUCGCAGUCUGCAACUCGACUGCGUGAAGCUGGAAUCGCUAGUAAUCGGAUAUCAGCCAUGAUCCGGUGAAUACGUUCCCGGGCCUUGUACACACCGCCAUCC
rnacentral:rRNA from 1 species